rnacentral:rRNA from 1 species
GAUGAACGCUGGCGGCGUGCCUAAUACAUGCAAGUCGAGCGAACAGACGAGGAGCUUGCUCCUCUGACGUUAGCGGCGGACGGGUGAGUAACACGUGGAUAACCUACCUAUAAGACUGGGAUAACUUCGGGAAACCGGAGCUAAUACCGGAUAAUAUAUUGAACCGCAUGGUUCAAUAGUGAAAUACGGUUUUGCUGUCACUUAUAGAUGGAUCCGCGCCGCAUUAGCUAGUUGGUAAGGUAACGGCUUACCAAGGCAACGAUGCGUAGCCGACCUGAGAGGGUGAUCGGCCACACUGGAACGGAGACACGGUCCAGACUCCUACGGGAGGCAGCAGUAGGGAAUCUUCCGCAAUGGGCGAAAGCCUGACGGAGCAACGCCGCGUGAGUGAUGAAGGUCUUCGGAUCGUAAAACUCUGUUAUUAGGGAAGAACAAAUGUGUAAGUAACUAUGCACGUCUUGACGGUACCUAAUCAGAAAGCCACGGCUAACUACGUG